rnacentral:rRNA from 1 species
AACGAACGCUGGCGGCAUGCCUAACACGUGCAAGUCGAACGAAGGCUUCGGCCUUAGUGGCGCACGGGUGAGUAACGCGUGGGAAACUGCCUAUUGGUGGGGAAUAACGACGGGAAACUGUCGCUAAUACCGCAUAAGCCCUUCGGGGGAAAGAUUUAUCGCCGAUAGAUGUGCCCGCGUCCGAUUAGCUAGUUGGUGAGGUAAUGGCUCACCAAGGCGACGAUCGGUAGCUGGUCUGAGAGGAUGAUCAGCCACACCGGGACUGAGACACGGCCCAGACUCCUACGGGAGGCAGCAGUGGGGAAUAUUGGACAAUGGGCGGAAGCCUGAUCCAGCAAUGCCGCGUGAGUGAUGAAGGCCUUAGGGUUGUAAAGCUCUUUCGGGUGGGACGAUGAUGACGGUACCACCAGAAGAAGCCCCGGCUAACUUCGUGCCAGCAGCCGCGGUAACAC